CAUACUAAACUAUGAUGUUUUUUCCACAUUUUGGACGACAUACUAAACUAUGAUGGUUUUUUUUUUCCACAUUUUGGACGACAUACUAAACUAUGAUGUUUUUUCCACAUUUUGGACGACAUACUAAACUAUGACGUUUUAAUGACAAUUUGGAUGACAUGCUAAACUAUGACCAUUUUUUUCCAGAGUCUGGACGACAUACGAAACUAGAAUAUUGAAUAUUUUUUUGAAUAUUUUGGUAGACAUACUAAACUAGUACUUUUUAAUAACUCUUUGGACGACAUACUAAACCAUGACAUUUUUUUCCACAUUUUGGAAGACAUACUAAACUAUGACGUUUUUUUUCCACAUUUUGGACGACAUACUAAACUAUGACGUUAUUUUUCCACAUUUUGGACGACAUACUAAACUAUGCCGUUUUUUCCACAUUUUGGACGACAUACUAAACUAUGACGUUUUUUUCCACAUUUUGGACGACAUACUAAACUAUGACUUUUUUUUCCACAUUUUGGAAGACAUACUAAACUAUGACGUUUUUAUUCCACAUUUUGGACGACAUACUAAACUAUGCCGUUUUUUCCCCACAUUUUGGACAACAUACUAAACUAUGACGUUUUUUCCACAUUUUGGACGACAUACUAAACUAUGACUUUUUUUAAAACAUUUUGGACGACAUGCUAAACUAUGACGUUUUAAUGACAUUUUGGAUGACAUGCUAAACUAUGACCAUUUUUUUCCACAUUUUGGACGACAUACUAAACUAUGAUGUUUUUUCCACAUUUUGGACGACAUACUAAACUAUGACGUUUUAAUGACAAUUUGGAUGACAUGCUAAACUAUGACCAUUUUUUUCCAGAGUCUGGACGACAUACGAAACUAGAAUAUUGAAUAUUUUUUUGAAUAUUUUGGUAGACAUACUAAACUAGUACUUUUUAAUAACUCUUUGGACGACAUACUAAACCAUGACAUUUUUUUCCACAUUUUGGAAGACAUACUAAACUAUGACGUUUUUUUUCCACAUUUUGGACGACAUACUAAACUAUGACGUUAUUUUUCCACAUUUUGGACGACAUACUAAACUAUGCCGUUUUUUCCACAUUUUGGACGACAUACUAAACUAUGACGUUUUUUUCCACAUUUUGGACGACAUACUAAACUAUGACUUUUUUUUCCACAUUUUGGACGACAUACUAAACUAUGACGUUUUUUUUCCACAUUUUGGACGACAUACUAAACUAUGCCGUUUUUUCCCCACAUUUUGGACAACAUACUAAACUAUGACGUUUUUUCCACAUUUUGGACGACAUACUAAACUAUGACUUUUUUAAAAACAUUUUGGACGACAUGCUAAACUAUGACGUUUUAAUGACAUUUUGGAUGACAUGCUAAACUAUGACCAUUUUUUUCCACAUUUUGGACGACAUACUAAACUAUGAUGUUUUUUCCCACAUUUUGGAUGACAUACUAAAUUAUGAUGUUUUUUAAAACAUUUUGGACGACAUACGAAACUGCAGGCCUCACCAGGGUUUUCACCCAGUGCUGCCAGGAGAACCCACCAAACAGCACAUGUCUGCAAUUGGCAGCACAUGCCAGCCUUAAAACCACAUUCAAUAAACCCAUAAAAACAGUCAUUGUCUUGUGUCUUUCAUCUUUCAUGUGAACUCCAUGUAGGUAAUGAAGCUGACCUUCAUUACAAAUAUGAACCUAUGACGUUUUACUGACAGUAUUGACGACAAUAAAUUUUGAUGUUUUUUUUUCACAUUUUGGACGACAUACUAAACUAUGACGUUUUAAUGACAUUUUGGAUGACAUGCUAAACUAUGACCAUUUUUUCCACAUUUUGGACGACAUACUAAACUAUGACGUUUUUUCCACAUUUUGGACGACAUACUAAACUAUGACGUUUUUUCCACAUUUUGGACGACAUACUAAACUAUGAUGUUUUUUUAAAACAUUUUGGACGACAUACUAAACUAUGACGUUUUUUUAAAACAUUUUGGACGACAUACUAAGUUUUGACAUUUUUUUCCACAUUUUGGACGACAUACUAAACUAUGAUGUUUUUUCCCACAUUUUGGAUGACAUACUAAACUAUGAUGUUUUUUAAAAGAUUUUGGACGACAUACUAAACUGCAGGCCUCACCAGGGUUUUCACCCAGUGCUGCCAGGAGAACCCACCAAACAGCACAUGUCUGCAAUUGGCAGCACAUGCCAGCCUUAAAACCACACUCAAUAAACCCAUAAAAAACAGUCAUUGUCUUGUGUCUUUCAUCUUUCAUGUGAACUCCAUGUAGGUAAUGAAGCUGACCUUCAUUACAAAUAUGAACCUAUGACGUUUUACUGACAGUAUUGACGACCUUAAAUUAUGAUGUUUUUUUUCACAUUUUGGACGACAUACUAAACUAUGACGAAUAUUUUCCACAUGUUGGACAACAUGCUAAACUAUGAUGUUUUUUUGAACAUAUUGGACGACACAAUAAACCAUGUCGUGUUUUUCCACAUUUUGAACGACAUACUAAACUAU